rnacentral:lncRNA from 1 species
AAAGAAGACAUUCACAUUCAGCUUGCAUCACAUGUUGAAUGCAACCUCACCUUUGAAUAAUAUGAAUAGAAUAGGAUCAAAUAAUAGGUAAUAAACAAAUGACAACAAAACACCAGCUCAAAUUUUACUUGGUUUCUUGAAAGGAAUUAUUAACCUUCAUGUGCAAGUUUUGUCAUUUUGAAUGAGCAUGCAAAACAGAAUCAUUUCCAUGGAUGCUUAUUUAACAAACAAAUACGUUUGAAGAAAACAAGACACUAAUUUGCAAGUGUGUUCCCUAACAAUACAUCUCUCUUUUUAAAACCUUUCAUUUUAGUAAAUCUCCUACUAAAUGUAAGUUGACAGUAGUGUAAACAGUACUUACAGUAAUCAUGUUUACAUUACAUUUUUGAUGAGAAGAAAAUCUUUUGAAUCUAUAUAGUUGUACUUGGACUAGAAUGUGUGAGGUACUGUAAAUAAUAAAGAAGUUAGAUUUAAAUGUGUAUCGUGUGUGAUAAAAACCAAACACUUUAACAGUUAUAAAAUGUACAUGUUAUAAUCAUUAUACACUUUUAUUUUGUCUUUUCAUAACAUUACGGUAACAUUAUGAAACUGUCUAUAUUCAAGGUCUCCACAACAGUCAAAUAAAGAGGCUCAGUGAUUUCACCUGAUCCUGAAUAUAAAUAGUAUGUUACCACAUAUUUCCAUUGUCAUAUGUGGGUUAGAUGAGCUGGAUGCAGUAGUGGUCACCAUAACAGGGAACCAUAAACCACAUCACUGGAGGCUUAAAACAACAAAUCAAACGAGGUGGCCUAUGGACUUGGGGAAUGUGAAAUGCAAAUGUGAGUGAGCGCUUUGUAAAUUAGCUUUCGCCCGCCCCACUGCAUUUGUCAACUUUCCUUAAUUCUCAUUCAGCACAACUUUUCACUCUGGAAACUGGUUCACAGGGAACAUGUUGUUAUGACAGAUAACAUUCUCUAAAACUUGCCGAUCCUCUCUUUUAAAAUGCAGAUUGUAAGGAUCAAGACACAGUCUGGUGCAGGAAUGCUGCUUUUUACUGCGCUAUUCAUUUUUAGCCAAACUUCAUAUGUGGCUUCCGCAGAGGUGACCUAUUGGGCAGAGGUCAUGAUUGAAGGGAAUAAAACAUUAAAUGUUGCAGUCCAUCUGCCUGGACUUAUUGGGACUGUUGUGGAUACAACAGGGGUAACAGUCACAGAUGCUGAAAUAGCAGCAGAGUGUGAGAUAAUUGGCCAAAAUUCAACAUGCUGGUGUGGACCAGACUAUGUUUGGAGCAAUCUUGUGUGUGACACUGUAAAUAAAUGCUGCAAUGUGGACAAAUGUGUGGCAAAUAUUUCAUACUACACUCCUCUGUGUCUGCCAAAAGUGAACGGUAAGUUGUCAAAAUAUAGCAAAUUGAAGUAAAAGUCAGACAUCACAUGUGCAAUUCUGGACAACAUUUAUGAUUGUUUCCCUCUGUGAACCUUAUAGUUUCACUCAUUGGUGUACUCACUGGGAGCCCCUCAACAGUCCAGACACUGGUAGGUGUGCAUCUCCUUAUUUGGUAAAUGAUUACUUGUUCUAAAAUGUAGUAGAUUAUCUUUAAGCAGCUGCAGAAUUCAUAGUAUAAUAUUAACUUUAUACGGGAUAAUGUACAGUCAGUCUGUGAUUAUAGCCAAAUAAACCCCAUUUUGCGAUAAAGACUGACACACUAACUGUACGUUAUAACACUUAUUGCAUGGCCACUCACAAAAUAAAUAAAUACAUAUAAAUUAAAUGUUGAUUUGUGAUUAAGUAAGUUUAUAAUUCAAACUGUUUCUUGAAGUCACAAAACAUUUACAAAUAUUUUAUUUAGAAUCAGUGGUUCGGAGUUUGUAGCAUCACGUGAUUUCAGCAAAAGAG